UACAGAGGUGGCAAGCGUUGUUCGGAAUUACUGGGCGUAAAGGGCGCGUAGGCGGUCCUGUAAGUCUUGUGUGAAAUCCCUCGGCUUAACCGGGGAACUGCGUCUGAUACUGGAUGGCUUGAGAUUGGGAGAGGGAUGCGGAAUUCCAGGUGUAGCGGUGAAAUGCGUAGAUAUCUGGAGGAACACCGGUGGCGAAGGCGGCAUCCUGGACCAACACUGACACUGAGGAGCGAAAGCCAGGGGAGCAAACGGG
rnacentral:rRNA from 1 species